GUCGGGCGGCAGCGGGUCCUUCGGGAUGCCGGCGAGCGGCGAACGGGUGAGUAAUGUAUCGGAACGUACCCAUUAGUGGGGGAUAACUACGCGAAAGCGUGGCUAAUACCGCGUACGCCCCUUUGGCGACAUUGGGGGAAAGCAGGGGACCUUUCGGGGCCUUGCGCUAUUGGAGCGGCCGAUAUCGGAUUAGUUUGUUGGUGGGGUAAUGGCCUACCAAGGCGAUGAUCCGUAGCUGGUUUGAGAGGACGACCAGCCACACUGGGACUGAGACACGGCCCAGACUCCUACGGGAGGCAGCAGUGGGGAAUAUUGGACAAUGGGGGCAACCCUGAUCCAGCCAUGCCGCGUGUGUGAAGAAGGCCCUUGGGUUGUAAAGCACUUUUGUUGGGGAAGAAAAGUUUUCGGUGAAUAACUGGAGAUCCUGACGGUACCCAAAGAAUAAGCACCGGCUAACUUCGUGCCAGCAGCCGCGGUAAUAC
rnacentral:rRNA from 1 species